AUUGAACGCUGGCGGCAGGCCUAACACAUGCAAGUCGAACGAGUGGCGGACGGGUGAGUAAUGUCUGGGAAACUGCCUGAUGGAGGGGGAUAAAUACUGGAAACGGUAGCUAAUACCGCAUACCAUCAGAUGUGCCCAGAUGGGGUUAGCUAGGUGGUGGGGUAACGGCGCACUAAGGCGACGAUCCAUAUCUGGUCUGAGAGGAUGAACAGCCACACUGGAAUGUGUACACGGUCCAGACUCCUACGUGAGGCAGCAGUGGGUAAUAAUGCACAAUGGGCGCAAGCCUGAUGCAGCCAUGCCCGUUGAAUUAAGAAGGCCUUCGGGUUGUAAAGUACUUUCAUCGGGGAGGCGUUACCCGCAGAAGAAUCACCGGCUAACUCCGUUCCAGCAGCCGCGUUAAUUC
rnacentral:rRNA from 1 species